GAUGAAGAACGUAGCGAAAUGCGAUACGUAAUGUGAAUUGCAAAUUCAGUGAAUCAUCGAGUCUUUGAACGCACAUUGCGCCCCCUGGUAUUCCGGGGGGCAUGCCUGUCCGAGCGUCAUUGCUGCCCUCAAGCACGGCUUGUGUGUUGGGCCCCGUCCUCCGAUCCCGGGGGACGGGCCCGAAAGGCAGCGGCGGCACCGCGUCCGGUCCUCGAGCGUAUGGGGCUUUGUCACCCGCUCUGUAGGCCCGGCCGGCGCUUGCCGAUCAACCCAAAUUUUUAUCCAGGUUGACCUCGGAUCGGGUAGGGAUACCCGCUGAACUUAAGAAUAUCAAUAAGCGGAGGA
rnacentral:misc_RNA from 1 species